UUCUUUUUAUAUUCCAUAUUAUUCUGUAAAAUCUAGCUUCCUAAUAUAGGAAAUUUAUUGAACAAAUGUUAGUGUAAUUGCUAGAGGGAAAACAAGAUAAGGGAAAUAGGAAGGGCGUGUAUAUGCACUGAGUGGAGGACAUGAUAAUUUCAGAUGGAGCUGGUCGGAGAAUGACUAACUACAGAAGACCUGAAAGAGCUGCGGGAGAUAAUGUGGUUAUAUACAGUUGAUCCUUGAGCAACAUGGAUUUGAACUUUAUGGGUCCACUCAUACACAGAUAAUUUUCAUUUGCAGGAGAUUCCAUGAACAGAGGAGGCCAUGUGAAGAGGCAGAUUUAAUGUUGGCCUUGAGAUUGGAGUGAUGCAGCUUCUAGCUGAGGGAUGCUGGCAGCCACCAGAAGCUGGAAGGUGUGAGGAACAUGUUGAUUCCCGGUCCCCCAGAGCCUCCUGGGGGAGCAUACACUUGAUUUGAUCCAGUGGAGUUGAUUUCUUACUUUUGGCCCACAGAAUUGUGAGAGAAUACAUUUCUGUUGUCUCAGUAAGCCACCAAGUUUGCGGUAAUGUUACAGCAGCCUCAGGUAUCCAAUACUGAUGGAAAGCUUAAGAUCACAAAUACAGCCAGAGCUGGAACCUCACCACACCACACCACACCACCUCCUAUGCUGUGUUUUCACUAGUACCUUACUGGUGGGUAGGUGAGGGUAGAUCUUAACUGUUAGUCAAUUUAGAAAUUUUCAGAGGUAUGGCAAUUGUUAAAAUUUACUUAGAUUUGCAUCACAAGAGUUGUCAGCAUGUGGCUAAAAUAUGGAAGAUUAGCAAAUACUUCAUAAUAAAAUACAGAUUAUCAAAACAAGUAUAAGAAA